rnacentral:rRNA from 1 species
GAUGAACGCUAGCUACAGGCUUAACACAUGCAAGUCGAGGGGUAGCACGGAGGAAGCUUGCUUCCUUGGGUGACGACCGGCGCACGGGUGAGUAACGCGUAUCCGACCUACCCAUAACUCGGGCACAGCCGCUCGAAAGAGUGAUUGAUUCCCGAUAUGUCAUUAGAGUAGAUUUAAUGAUGAAAGAUUCAUCGGUUAUGGAUGGGGAUGCGUAAGAUUAGGUAGUAGGCGGGGUAACGGCCCACCUAGCCGACGAUCUUUAGGGGUUCUGAGAGGAAGGUCCCCCACACUGGUACUGAGACACGGACCAGACUCCUACGGGAGGCAGCAGUGAGGAAUAUUGGUCAAUGGGCGGAAGCCUGAACCAGCCAAGUAGCGUGAAGGAUUACAGCCCUACGGGUUUUAAACUUCUUUUAUAUAAGAGUAAUGUGCACUACGUGUAGUGUAUUGCAAGUAUUAUAUGAAUAAGCAUCGGCUAACUCCGUGCCAGCCGCCGCAGUAAUAC